GAUUCUCCUCCGUUUCCUUCAAUCUUUCUAAACCCACUGUGUCCUGUGUAUGUGAAGGGAGAGAAUGUCAGUAUCACAUGCGCCUUUUCUCAAAAGAAUUCUGUUGCAAGUCAGUUUUACAAAAAUAAAAAAGAAGUCUACAUGCAGAAAACUGCUGAUAAUGUUAGAAGUUAUGGCAUUUUGAAUAUGACUCGCGAGGAUUCUGG